rnacentral:rRNA from 1 species
GACGAACGCUGGCGGCGUGCUUAACACAUGCAAGUCGAACGGAAAGGCCCUGCUUUUGUGGGGUGCUCGAGUGGCGAACGGGUGAGUAACACGUGAGUAACCUGCCCCUGACUUUGGGCUACCUUCAGGAAACUGGGGUUCAUACCGGAUAGGCGCUCCUGCUGCAUGGUGGGGGUUGGAUAGUUUCGGCGGUUGGGGAUGGACUCGCGGCUUAUCAGCUUGUUGGUGGGGUAGUGGCUUACCAUGGCUUUGACGGUUAGCCGGCCUGAGCGGGGGACCGGCCACAUGGGGACGGAGAUACGGCCCGGACUCCUACGGGAGGAGGCGGGGGGGAAUAUUGCACAAUGGGCGGAGGCCGAAGGCAGAAACGCCGCGUGCGGGAUGACGGCCUUCGGUUGGUAAACCGCUUUCGCCUGUGACGAAGCGGGAGUGACGGUAAUGGGUAAAGAAGCACCGGCUAACUACGUG